GACGAACGCUGGCGGCGUGCUUAACACAUGCAAGUCGAACGGAAAGGCCCUGCUUUUGUGGGGUGCUCGAGUGGCGAACGGGUGAGUAACACGUGAGUAACCUGCCCUUGACUUUGGUAUAACUUCAGGAAACUGGGGCUAAUACCGGAUAGGAUCUCCUGCUGCAUGGUGGGGGUUGGAAAGUUUCGGCGGUUGGGGAUGGACGCGCGGCUUAUCAGCUUGUUGGUGGGGUAGUGGCUUACCAAGGCUUUGACGGGUAGCCGGCAGGGGAGGGUGACCGGCGACAUGGGGACUGAGAUACGGCCCAGACUCCUACGGGAGGCAGCAGGGGGGAGUAUUGCACAAUGGGCGGAAGCCUGAUGCAGAAACGCCGCGUGCGGGAUGACGGCCUUCGGGGUGUAAACCGCUUUAGCCUGUGACGAAGCGGGAGUGACGGUAAUGGGUGAAGAAGCACCGGCUAACUACGUG
rnacentral:rRNA from 1 species